rnacentral:lncRNA from 11 species
CUGCAAUGCUCCAUGGGAUUCCUUCCCAGGAAUCCUCAGAGAUGCUUGUCUGUUCUUAAGGUGAAAAGCACAUGUCUGCAUUAAUCUGACUAUUUCCUGACAGCUGAUACCUGUUUUGAAAGCAACUGGAAUUUUUACUUGCAAUAAUGUCUUUUCAACACAAGAUGGCACUGCAGCGCAGAUUAUUUCCAAUCUACAUUUCCCUUUUGCCAUCUAUUGUUAACAGUUCAAACUCAUUUCCUGUUUGUCUUCCUCCUGUGAGCUUCUUUAUUAUUGUUGCAUCUAAGUGCAAUAUAAAGAACUGA